ensembl:misc_RNA 7SK 7SK RNA
GGAUGAUGUGAUGCUGUGGCAUCUGUCACCACAUUGAUGGUGAAGUUGAUUCUUGGCUGAUCUGGCUGGCUAAGCAAGCAUCCCCUUCCUCCCUCACUGCUCCAUGUGGGGCCCUCCUGAAGACAUACUUGGUUCAGGAGGAUGCUCUUUCUCAAUACAGGAGGACUGUUCUUUGUUUAAGGGUGUGUAUAUGAGCAGCUAUGCUCCCCAGCUAGAAACAAACAUCCCAAAUUCAGGAGAGCUCAGGAUAGGGUCCAGGUGGAGAACUGCAUUCCAGAUGACUCACUG